GGGGUUGUGGCUCAGUGGUAGAGUGUUCGCCUACCACGUGCGAAGUUCUGGGUUUGAUCCUCAGCACCACA
rnacentral:tRNA from 1 species